GUGAACGCUGGCGGUAGGCCUAACACAUGCAAGUCGAACGGCAGCACAGAGGAGCUUGCUCCUUGGGUGGCGAGUGGCGGACGGGUGAGGAAUACAUCGGAAUCUACCCUGUCGUGGGGGAUAACGUAGGGAAACUUACGCUAAUACCGCAUACGACCUUCGGGUGAAAGAGGGGGCUCGCAAGACCUCUCGCGAUUGGAUGAGCCGAUGUCGGAUUAGCUAGUUGGCGGGGUAAAAGCCCACCAAGGCGACGAUCCGUAGCUGGUCUGAGAGGAUGAUCAGCCACACUGGAACUGAGACACGGUCCAGACUCCUACGGGAGGCAGCAGUGGGGAAUAUUGGACAAUGGGCGCAAGCCUGAUCCAGCCAUACCGCGUGGGUGAAGAAGGCCUUCGGGUUGUAAAGCCCUUUUGUUGGGAAAGAAAAGCGACCGGCUAAUACCCGGUUGUUCUGACGGUACCCAAAGAAUAAGCACCGGCUAACUUCGUGCCAGCCGCCGCAGUAACAC
rnacentral:rRNA from 1 species